CCUACGGGCGGCAGCAGUGGGGAAUAUUGGACAAUGGGCGAAAGCCUGAUCCAGCCAUGCCGCGUGUGUGAAGAAGGCCUUCGGGUUGUAAAGCACUUUCAGUGGGGAAGAAAGCCUUGGGGCUAAUACCCUCGAGGAAGGACAUCACCCGCAGAAGAAGCACCGGCUAACUCCGUGCCAGCAGCCGCGGUAAUACGGAGGGUGCGAGCGUUAAUCGGAAUUACUGGGCGUAAAGCGCGCGUAGGCGGUCUGAUAAGCCGGUUGUGAAAGCCCCGGGCUCAACCUGGGAACGGCAUCCGGAACUGUCAGGCUAGAGUGCAGGAGAGGAAGGUAGAAUUCCCGGUGUAGCGGUGAAAUGCGUAGAGAUCGGGAGGAAUACCAGUGGCGAAGGCGGCCUUCUGGACUGACACUGACGCUGAGGUGCGAAAGCGUGGGUAGCAAACAGGAUUAGAUACCCCAGUAGUC
rnacentral:rRNA from 1 species